GAGAAAGUGCCCAGAAAGUAGCUCCACCUGUAAAGUUGGGACAGCUGAUACAUGCCCUGAUAAAACUGACCACAUCUGUGCUCCGUGUGAGAAGCGAUAUCCUUCUUGUAUAGAUAAACCAGACGGCUUUGUUCCAUACCCUGGACGUUUGUUUACUCGUGAUUUUGUUAGAUGUGACUCAGGCAGGACACUGGCUAUACUGAAAUGUGUCCAGUCAGUAUUUGAUCCAAACACAAGAAGUUGUGGACUGAAACUAGAUCAAGUUAUUGCUGAACUUAAGACUGACCCCAUAAGCUUCUGCAAACGCUACCCAUCGGCCUUGAUACCAGACAGUACUCACUGUGCCCGUUUCUACAACUGCAGCGGAUCCUCCAGCAGCGGUAUUGAUGUGGCACACCUGCAGGAGUGCCGGCACCCAAAGCUUUUUGAUACCAACAAGAGGAUCUGUGAUAACUUCAUUGAAGUUUUGAACACUGCUGGAUGUGAGGAGAAAUUUCAACCAAAGCAUUACUGUAAG
rnacentral:sRNA from 1 species